rnacentral:rRNA from 1 species
GUGCCAGCAGCCGCGGUAAUACGUAGGGUGCAAGCGUUGUCCGGAAUUAUUGGGCGUAAAGAGCUCGUAGGCGGUCUGUCGCGUCUGCUGUGAAAACCCGAGGCUCAACCUCGGGCCUGCAGUGGGUACGGGCAGACUAGAGUGCGGUAGGGGAGAUUGGAAUUCCUGGUGUAGCGGUGGAAUGCUCAGAUAUCAGGAGGAACACGGAUGGCGAAGGCAGAUCUCUGGGCCGUAACUGACGCUGAGGAG